AGAUAGCUCUCAACUUCACAAAACUAUUGGAAAAAUCAUGGCCAAGAACCUCUCUCUUUGCAUCACGAUCUUCCUCCUAUUCCUAACAUUUUCCGACAACCUCCUGGCCCGGCCCGAGUCCACGUUCUCCGACGUCACUCCCGUUGAAAUUCACGGCAAGGGUUAUGGAGUAGAGAGAGCCAGGGGGGAAGGAGAAGACGAGUGGUUGAUGAGAAGUACUCUUGAGGCUCACAUCGACUAUAUCUACACUCAGAAACAGAAGCAACCUUGAUCAUUAUUUAAAAUAUUAUUUAUAUGUGACAUCUAAUUUUUGUAAUACUAGUAUAUUCUAAGUUUUUAUGAUCAGAAAUAGGGACUCCUAUGUUCUUCUGUGAUGUGUUUUUCAGUCUUGUAUUAUGUUAACAUUUAUUUGAGUGUAAUAUAUAUGUUUAUGCACAUGUCAGUCCAAAAGGUUAUUUUGUUCUUUAAUGAGACAUUUUUAUGUUUUUCUUGAUGAUA